rnacentral:tRNA from 3 species
CGCGGGAUGGAGCAGUUGGUAGCUCGUCGGGCUCAUAACCCGAAGGUCGUUGGUUCAAAUCCAGCUCCCGCAACCA